UAUUUUUCGUUUGAAAAAAAAAACCUUUAUUUUCAUAAAUAUAUCUUUAUUUUAAUUUUUCUUGCUGAAUUAGUCUUCUCCUUCCUCUGGAACUUGGGUGCCUUCUGCGACUUGGGCUAGAGCAAAAGAAUGUUAACCUUUUGGCCUCACUCGAUCGACCUCAACAUCAUGGCCGCCGUGACCUGUGAACUCCCGUUUGGUUUGAAGAGGCAACAUAGCGUUGAGUACUGGAUCUGAAAUGGCUGACGCAUUUUUUGUGCCCUUCUUUUCAUCUUUGAGUUUUAAUACUCGUGGCCAUAACAUGAGUACUGAUCGGGUUGAUCGUUAAUUGCAGCUCAUGGUUUACCACCUCCCCUGGCCUUAAUUAGUCGUUCGUAAUCUUAUGGAGCAGGUAAGAAAGGAUAUUGUUUCUUAUUUCUUCUUUCUUAGUUGUAGUUUUCCACAAUGUCCUUUGUUGUAUUUUUUCUUAACUAAAUUUGUAUCAUCUUCUUCCAACUUCAAGGCCAGGUUUGCUUAUUUAUGCACCAUAGGGCUCGUUUGGAACGCUGUAUUAGGUCGUAGUGUAUUGUAUUGUAUUAUAUUAAAUUGUAUUUUAUGAAAUAUUUUUAUGUAAAACUAUGUGUGGUAUUAUCUUUUAUGGACACCUAAAUAUAUAAUAUUUUAGUAUAAAUUAAAGUUUAACAUAGUAUUAUAUAAAAAUAUGAUAUAUAAUCUAAUUCAAUAUAAUACAAUACAAUACAAUACGACCUAAUACGGCGUUCCAAACGAGCUCAUAAUGUCUUGAAUGAACCAUCGGCAUGAAAGAUUGGUUCGCUAGUAGAUUUUGCACCUGAUCCUGCACCUCUCAUGCAAAGUCACGGCAAGAUUUAUAAUACGAGAGUGAUUCGGGCUCUUGAAACUGAAGCAUGUAAUAGCCAAAGAUAGAAUACUAGUCAAUACUUUAAUAUUUUACCCACCAUACUAAUACAAUUUUAUUUUCAUUCAACAGUUAAUACUUUAAUAUUUUACCCACCAUACUAAUACAAUUUUAUUUUCAUUCAACAACA